CCCACCCACACGUAUCUUCUUCCCCCCCAUCCCCCCAACCCACUCCUUACCACCACAUCUCAAAUCCCGAGGGCGACGGCGAGGGGAUUCUGGGUCGGCGUGGCUCCCCAUGGCCGCCGAGGGGACAAGCAGGCGGAGGUCCUCGACUACCUCAACGACGACUAGGAGGUCGGGGUCGAGAGGACGUCCUCGACCGCGCCCAUAAAGGAGAGCCUCGUCCUCGACCGCACCCAGCACCGGCGAGCUUGACGGAGGAGCCGCUCUGAGAUGCGGCGGCUGCUUGGCGGUGCCCGGGGCGACGCGAACCGGCGCGCCGCGCGCUGAUGCGGACGAGGCCGUCACGGCCUAGCUCGAGCGGCGCCCGGUCAUAGGGCCGAGAUGCGGUGGCUAUUGGCGGUGCCGAGUGCGACGUGGACAGGCACAUCCCACACUGAUGCGAGGACGCCGCCAUGGUCCACGACCCUCCCAUCCAUCUUCAGGGAAAACGGGCCUGUAUGGCGAUCUGGAGGCUGUUCAAGCGCUGGGGGGAUCGUACGGAACGAAAAUUGUUCGAUCGUUGCAACUCCAGACCAGACAUGCGGGCAGACUCCUCCCCUGCCAGACAUGAAAACCGUUCGGUCGUUGCCCCUCCAGACCGGACGUGCGGGCAGCCUUCUCCCUUGCCAUACGUGUAGCAGUUAUCGGCGUUCAAAUUUAAAGCACUUAUUAUAAAAGGCUAACUUGACUCAAUCCAACCGGGGUUGUCCACGUGUUAGCUGACUUACCCGGAGUUCUCGCGAGUAAUCAAUCGAGUCAUGUAUGUGUGUAUAUGCCAGAUCGAUCCGGCAGCAUGUACGGAGCUCCGUAAACAUAUACCCAUCGUGUGCAUGCAUAUUCUUGUUAUUCUAAUCCAGAUCAAUCAACGCUGGCCGCUAGUAGCAAA